AGUUUGAUCCUGGCUCAGGAUGAACGCUGGCGGCGUGCUUAACACAUGCAAGUCGAGCGAAGCGAUUUCAAGGAAGUUUUCGGACGGAAUUGAAAUUGACUGAGCGGCGGACGGGUGAGUAACGCGUGGGUAACCUGCCUCAUACAGGGGGAUAACAGUUGGAAACGACUGCUAAUACCGCAUAAGCACACAGUGCCGCAUGGUACGGUGUGAAAAACUCCGGUGGUAUGAGAUGGACCCGCGUCUGAUUAGGUAGUUGGUGAGGUAACGGCCCACCAAGCCGACGAUCAGUAGCCGACCUGAGAGGGUGACCGGCCACAUUGGGACUGAGACACGGCCCAAACUCCUACGGGAGGCAGCAGUGGGGAAUAUUGGACAAUGGGGGAAACCCUGAUCCAGCGACGCCGCGUGAGUGAAGAAGUAUUUCGGUAUGUAAAGCUCUAUCAGCAGGGAAGAAAAUGACGGUACCUGACUAAGAAGCCCCGGC
rnacentral:rRNA from 1 species